rnacentral:rRNA from 1 species
CUAGCGACUUCAGAGUUUGAUCCUGGCUCAGGACGAACGCUGGCGGCGUGCCUAACACAUGCAAGUCGAACGGGGUUACCCUUCGGGGUAACUUAGAGGCGAACGGGUGAGUAACGCGUGAAGAACCUGCCUUUCAGUGGGGGACAACAGUUGGAAACGACUGCUAAUACCGCAUAAUGUUAUUGAGCGGCAUCGCUUGAUAACCAAAGCUUUAUGUGCUGAAAGAUGGCUUCGCGUCUGAUUAGCUAGAUGGCGGGGUAACGGCCCACCAUGGCGACGAUCAGUAGCCGGACUGAGAGGUUGAGCGGCCACAUUGGGACUGAGAUACGGCCCAG